rnacentral:rRNA from 1 species
AAUCUUGCACAAUGGGCGAAAGCCUGAUGCAGCGACGCCGCGAGAGUGAAGAAGUGCAUAGGUAUGUAAAGCUCUAUCAGCAGAGACAAUAAUGACGGUACCUGACUAAGAAGACCCGGCCAACUACGUGCCAGCAGCCGCGGUAAUACGUAGGGGGCAAGCGUUAUCCGGAUUUACUGGGUGUAAAGGGAGCGUAGGUGGUAGUGCAAGUCAGAUGUGAAAGCCCGUUGCUUAACAGCGGGAUUGCAUCAGAAACUGUAUUACUAGAGUACAGGAGAGGUAAGUGGAAUUCCUAGUGUAGCGGUGAAAUGCGUAGAUAUUAGGAGGAACAUCAGUGGCGAAGGCGGCUUACUGGACUGUAACUGACACUAAGGCUCGAAAGCGUGGGGAGCAAACA